AACAUGUACAAACAGCUGAGAAACAAUAAUCAAAACAAGUAUGGUGCCAGUAUGCUGGUUUUUUUCAAUAAAAUACUGGAAAGGAUAGAAAUGUAGUUUGUCUCUUUUAUCCGAUUAUUAAUCGAAGUAAUAAUCGACCGAUUAAUCGAUUAUCAAAUGAAUCGUUAGUUGCAGCCCUAGUCCAGGCUAAGAUUAAUAAUACACCAAGAAAGCUUAUUGUCUUCACUUCCUGGUGUCCAACACAUAACACUUGUCAUCACAUCCUGUGUCCCCCGCCCUUAAGUGUCCCCUACAAUGGUUCCGGUAUUGACCUGAGUAACCAAUACAUGACAAUUAGAAACGUCUAAAACUGGAUUUCCACAAAAUUAGCAAAGAGAGCACCCAUUAUUAAUGAGUAUAGAUUCAUAUUGAAAUAAUACAUGAUCUUGUGGCAAUGUUCAAAAUGGUGCCUUCUGUCCAAUCACAUCGCAAGCCUUCAUGAACGAGGAAGUACUACAGUGAGUCUGUUAGCAAACACUGCUAACGCGCUAGAAUUCUAAGCUUAUUCCAGCGUACGUGACACAACAAAAACUACUUUUUUUUUAGCUCUUAUUUUCGUUAUCUAAUAAGCCACAUGAUGUAAUGUUUGUCAUGCUUGUGGGACUCAUAGCGUCCCCCAAUUCAAGAUGGCGGCAACAGGCUAACCAACACCAGGACUCUAAGCAGGCCCUUAAGUUUGCACUACCAGGACAACGUUAUCUGGACACAAACGAAGUGGAAAUCAACGAAAAAGGAACAGCUUCUUGUCCUGUGGAAAGCUUUAUUGAAGUGUUUUCAUGGAAUAUAUGCAGACAUAGCCCAAGGACAACGUUAUCUGGACACAAACGAAGUGGAAAUCAACAAAAAAGGAACAGCUUCUUGUCCUGUGGAAAGCUUUAUUGAAGUGUUAUCAUGGAUAACACGUAGCCCAAGCGAUCGGCAGAAGGACGAAGGACUUCACCCGAUGCGUUUGGCGGCCCGGGGACGUAGGAAGUCAAGGUGAGGUCGGCGGCUAGCGCGGCUAGCGCUCCAACA